UUUUGUGGCACAAGAGAUCUUACAGAUGCUUUUUGAAGAGAUGGAACCCUGCAUCCCAGAGUCUCUGAGCGGGCAGUGCCAGAGUCCUUGGAAACACCCAGAGACUGGCUCCCAUAGGAAGAAACCAGGUUGUUUAUUAACAGCUGGAGCUAAUUCCAAGAACCGUUGCCAGUGGGACUGAUGGCAUCACAUGCUGGACGUGCUGCCUAGGUUACAACUCCUGUUGAAGUAUUUCCUUAAAACUUUUCAGACUGUUCAGUAUUUGGGUUGGAGUUAACACACAUUGUCCACAUGAAGCUAAAAUCUUGUUUUCAAAACGUAUUGACCAAAAGCACCGACAUGUCUGUGAGAAAGAAGAGAUAGGUAGUUUGGCCCAUGCCGACUGCUACCCAAGAAUUUUUGUGUCAAGUCCUCUGUUCUGGAGAAGGUCUUUGGAAGAUGAACUGCUUUUGUACCAGCAAUACUCUUUCUCUGAAAAUCCAGCUUUGAAAAAUUUCAGUUUGCACAGGCCCAGUAGAAACUCUUUUGGGUUUGUUGGUUUAAAUCCUUGAAGAGUCUGUUCUUGCUGGGAUUUUGCCUCUGCAGUUUCUGAUGCUGACAUUGAGUCAGUGCCAACUCAACCGUAUGGCCUCUCCAUACUAGGAGCGAAGUGGCCCAGCAAGGCUUCCCUUGCUGCUGUGGCUCUUGAGUACUGUGGGGCAGGCCAAGAACGGGCACCGAGAGCAGGGAUCCGUCUGUCGCUUGAAAGUUUUCACCGUCUGAGCCCAGGCAGGAGAAAGGAAGAUAGUUCCCGUCAUAAAUCCGGAUGGAAUGAGAAAAAGAAGGCAAAGACAAGACAUCUGGUGAUAUUCAGGUUGGAGUGAAUUUGUUAAAAGGUAUGGAAAGAACAGCCUGGAAGCUCCAAAAGACAUUAGGAGAUAGAAGAAACAUGUAAUGGACUGAGAGUAACACUACUAGCCCCUCCCUAAUAUAAGCUAAUUUCUGUGCCCAUAAUUAUAUAAAUUAUUUCUUCUAAGCACAUUAGAUUUUUAAGUGGUUAAAUUCAGAACACAAGGACUUUUGAUUCUGUUGUUGUCUGAUCCUGAGCAUGUAAUUUAUUUUCUCUAUGUCAACAUCCUCAUCUAAAGAACUGGGACUGUAACUGACCUUUGUUAUGUAGUCCCUAAACAGGCAAAAUUGUGUUUGAUCAUACCUGUAGAAUAUUUUGUCAUCUUGUAAUGAUGGAAACAUAAAUGAUUUUAACAAUUGUU